GAUGAAGAACGUAGUGAAAUGCGAUAAGUAAUGUGAAUUGCAGAAUUCAGUGAAUCGUCGAAUCUUUGAACGCACAUUGCGCCCCUUGGUAUUCCGGGGGGCAUGCCUGUUCGAGCGUCAUUUCAACCCUCAAGCUCAGCUUGGUAUUGAGUCCAUGUCAGUAAUGGCAGGCUCUAAAAUCAGUGGCGGCGCCGCUGGGUCCUGAACGUAGUAAUAUCUCUCGUUACAGGUUCUCGGUGUGCUUCUGCCAAAACCCAAAUUUUCUAUGGUUGACCUCGGAUCAGGUAGGGAUACCCGCUGAACUUAAGCAUAUCAAUAAGCGGAGGA
rnacentral:misc_RNA from 1 species